CAGUCGCCGCGGUAAUACGUAGGGUGCGAGCGUUGUCCGGAAUUACUGGGCGUAAAGAGCUCGUAGGCGGUUUGUCACGUCGUCUGUGAAAUCCUAGGGCUUAACCCUGGACGUGCAGGCGAUACGGGCUGACUUGAGUACUACAGGGGAGACUGGAAUUUCUGGUGUAGCGGUGGAAUGCACAGAUAUCAGGAAGAACACCGAUGGCGAAGGCAGGUCUCUGGGUAGUAACUGACGCUGAGGAGCGAAAGCAUGGGUAGCGAACAGGAUUAGAUACCCCAGUAGUCCCUGUCUCUUAUAC
rnacentral:rRNA from 1 species